UACGUAGGGGGCAAGCGUUGUCCGGAAUCAUUGGGCGUAAAGAGCGCGUAGGCGGCCCAGUAAGUCCGCUCUGAAAGUCAGGGGCUCAACCCCUGAAUGCGGGUGGAUACUGCUGGGCUAGAGUCCGGAAGAGGCGAGUGGAAUUCCUGGUGUAGCGGUGAAAUGCGCAGAUAUCAGGAGGAACACCGGUGGCGAAGGCGGUUCUCUGGGCCUUACCUGACACUGAGGAGCGAAAGCGUGGGGAGCGAACAGG
rnacentral:rRNA from 1 species